UGCUGGGCCUGUCUUGGUUCGCCUGUGCGUGGUGUGCGCGCACACGGGUGGACUCCGUGGGAUCCGGGCAUAUGUAUUGCAUGUCUGUUUCUUCUUCGCGUGAGUGUGCCGUGGAUCGUGUGAGGGACUGUGAGGCCCACGGCCACUCUCUGGCUCUCCACAACGGAAUCCAUAAAUUCAGAGAGACAGGUGGACCGAUGACACACUGAGACCAAGAUCCCCACUGAGCUCCACGGACAUCCAUCUUCUAUCUCUGGCAGCAGCGUGCCUUUAGCUCCCUUUUUACCUUGCCCUUUCCAAGCCUCUAAAGAACGAUGGCUGCUUCAUAGCCCAGUGUACCGCGGCCUCUGUUUAGGGCAAGGUCUAUGGACUUCUGUGCUGAGAGAAAGGAUGCAUUAUUUUUUUGUCCUGGCCUAAACCCAAGAGGAUGAAGGCUCAGAGCAACUCUAGGGAGCCCCAGGCAGGUAGAGUGGAGCAAGUCUCAAGCAACAUGUUCUGAGAUUCCCCGGUUCCGGGGAGAAGCAACUGACAGGGAUGCCCCUCUGAGCCAGCUGCCACCCUCUCUGCCCAGAAUAGCAGUGCUGAAUUGAAACAUCCAUCUUGAGCCUUCAAUCUGCCUGUGCUCCGUGAGGAUCUCCACCAUGGAUCUAGGGCUGACUUUUGCCAAGUAAUCAGGGAAGAAAGAGAAGUAAAAGAGAAAAUGCAGGGGCUUAACAAGCAAACUUGAUGCUCUGGAAAGAAAACUCUGGCCUCUGGGUGGAACCGAUGUCAUUAGAGUCCUGAGGGCUGAAGUGGGAGAGGUGUGAACCUGGUUCACCUUCUGCAGCCCUGCCUACCAAUCCUAGAGAAGUCUUAGAAUUAUGUUCUAGAAUUCUCCAUUCAGUGUCAAGUCAGCAUGGCUCCAGGAUUGUCCUGAGAUGGUGAAAUAUUGGUGCUCAUUCUUCCUGAAAGGACAAGUUAUGCUCACCAAUCAUGUAUGUGUCUGCCUUUGGGAUGUUCUACAGAAUUUUUUGGUACCUACCACAGGAUACAU